GGUGCCCGCCCCUGCCGCGGCCCCUCCAGUCCCUUCGCAGCCCACCGACUCCCUCUACAACGCCGGCCGCCUGGCUGCUGGGCUUUGCCCGCCUGGGCCCGGGGGAACGGCCGCGGCGGCUCCAGCGGGCGGGCAUCUUCCUGCAAAGGGUGUGUCCCACCUCUUUUUCACCAUAGCUGCUUACUGCCAUAAAACAGAAUUCUGUGUAUUGCUGCAAAUGCCAAUAGAGAUGCAUUGUCAUAUAGAGGAUAGAUAAAACUAGCUAUGGAGUUGGAACAACAAACAGAAGCCCCUUUUUCUCCAGGCAGAGUCAGAGGAAUACCUUCAGGCAGUCAGAUACUUCAUGUGCAUCCUCGUAAUCUGCCAUCUCACGCAUUACAACACGUAUUAACAGGACAUCUGGACAUAAAGAAACAAGGCUCCAGUGAGCCAAAGAAAAGAAAAGGUGACUGGCCUAAGGGAAGAAAAGGAAACCUCCAAAGGAAUGUUCAGCUCCUCGUGCCCCUACAACAGGGUAUGUAAUAUUCCUGAAUGAGCGGAGAAUUAAAAUGAAGGCCAAACAUCCAGAUUUGCCUUUUACUGAAAUAACCAAGAUGCUGGCUGCUCAAUGGUCUCAACUUUCUCAAGCAGGAAAGCAAAAAUAUAUUAAAGAAGCAGAAAAGGAUAAGCAAAGAUAUAUGAAAGAAUUGAAAGCCUAUCAAGACUCUGAAGCCUAUCAAGCUUUCUUAGAGAGAAGAGCAGUUCACAAAGUGAGGACCCUGUGUGGAACAAUAUCUAUAGGAAGUAGAUCUGAGAAUGAAGCUCUUGCUUUGUCAACAAUAGAUGAGACUUUGAAAAAGAAACUUCCGAGUUCUCUAAACAUCAGAAACUGCAAGAAGAAAAGGAGGAAAAAGAUGAGUCAGAAGAAGAAAUUGACUCUACAGAUCUGUUUCAGUUUGGGGGCCUGACCUCCCAGAAGAACUUUGCGUCAUCUGAUUUUUGUUUUUUGCAGGCGUUUAUCUUCAGACUUCUGAAAUGUAAGUUGUAUAUUCUGUAAAGUAAGUUGCAGAGAGAAGUCUUUUUUUUAUACUAAAUGUCAUCAAACUGGAGCCAGAGGUGAUCCCCAUCACUAGGACAAUAUUAUUCGAGACCCAUUACCUCAGAACAGCCUCAGAAGAAAUCGGUAUCCAGUUCUUCAGAGUCUGGAGUGUGGAACUCCUCUACAGAAGUUAGAGAGUUUGAACUUUGUGAACUAAAAAGAAGUUUGACAAAGGCAUAUGAAGAACAGGAAAGUUUAAAAAAGCAGUUGGAGGAUCUAAAGAAUCAGCAGUUGAAGUUGGAAACGGAUUUUGCAUCCAUAAAGGCAUAUACUAGUACUUUAGAAAAAGAGUUUGAAAAUUUAAAUAUGGUUCCAAUGCUGUUCCAGUUUCAUCUGCAAAUAGUGGACACUACAACACAUGCAUAAAACAAUCUGACCUUGUUGUAGAAGAGUGGUUUUGUCAUUGAAGAACAUUGUAUCCUUUCAAACAAACAGCAGCUGGCAUUUACCCCGUCUUGUUUAAUGGCUCUGAUGUCUUAAGGGCUGAAGGAACCUUGGUCCAGAAACUAACAUUCUCCCCCUCACCCCCAACCUCUUGUCAUCAGUUGUUUUGCUUUUGCAAUCCAAAUGUGAGUUUCAGAAAAAUUAAGAAGAAUGUUCCAUAUAUUAAAUUCCAAAAACAAAGUUAAUUCAGCACUGUAGUUUGGAUAUUCUUUCUUCAGUAUAUUUAAAAUAUCAAGUUAUGUUUCCCACAGCAACUGUAAUUUGUACGGGUCCCACUGAGAACAUGCAGUUAGCUACACAAGAUAUUAUAUAUGGUGGUAAAAUUUUCUGCAUUCAUAUCAGCACACCCCAAUUCAGUGAAUUACCAGACUUAAGCAUAUGCCAAACUACACAUGUGAGUAUUCCCAUUAAGAUCAAUGGGACUCAUCAUGUGUGGAGCUAGGCAUGUGCUUUAAAUACCUUGCUGAAUUGGAACUAUGCAGCAUGGCAUAUGGAUGUAUGCAGUUUGUAACAGGAUCCUUAGAUUGGAAUUUCCCUACUUUUGAGCAAUUCAGAUCUUAACUACAAUGUUUUAUUAGAAUUGUUUUGAUUAAAUUUAAUUUAUUGGUUGUUUUUAAA